GACCAAACUUGGCCACCGUCUACAAAUCUACGCGGUCAAAGCGGAAGAUUACCUUUCUUUGGCAAAGGCUACAGGCGCCGCGGAAAUAAUGUUCCACCAGACAUGUAUUGGUGGAACUCGCAGUGGAACGAGGUGCAAAAAAAAGGGCACACACUAGGUAUGUGUCGGGUCACCUAAUCCUGAGGAGCUCCUAGGGAAAAGAAGGGACAGGCCAAACGGCAACAACGAGGACAAGAAUUGAGGUUUUCGGGUCUAAGUCCGGAUAAAUUUACAGGUCAAUAGCCACUUCUGGGCUAGGCGCCGGGCUAACUAUGCCCCGACUACAGCGUACUCUGCCGGAGACCAGCAGCAGUAAGGGCCUGGAACACCCCGAGGAGCGGUUGCGAAGGCGAGCCUGAUGGCGGUGCCUCUCAACGCCGCGCGCACUGGCAGCCUGACGACCCCAAAGCAGGUGGGUCUUAAUAGCCCGGAACGGACUCACCGGUGAAUGUCGGAUGGCGUUGGCUGCGUCCGAGGAAGGCGAGUAGUGUUUGUCCAGAUCUCGUAGCUGGCUCGACCGAAGAUUUAAUUCCCUCCAAUUUAAAUCUCCAAUUUGAAUUU